AUUGAACGCUGGCGGCAGGCCUAACACAUGCAAGUCGAGCGAGCGGCGGACGGGUGAGUAAUGUCUGGGAAACUGCCUGAUGGAGGGGGAUAACUACUGGAAACGGUAGCUAAUACCGCAUACCAUCAGAUGUGCCCAGAUGGGAUUAGCUAGUAGGGGGGGUAACGGCUCACCUAGGCGACGAUCCCUAGCUGGUCUUAGAGGAGGACAAGCCAACUGGGAAGUGAGACACGUUCCAGACUCCUACGGGAGGCAGCAGUGGGGAAUAUUGCACAAUGGGCGAAAGCCUGAUGCAGCCAUGCCGCGUGUGUGAAGAAGGCCUUCGGGUUGUAAAGCACUUUCAGCGGGGAGGCGUUACCCGCAGAAGAAGCACCGGCUAACUCCGUGCCAGCCGCCGCGGUAAUUC
rnacentral:rRNA from 1 species